ACACCUCAACUCUCAUGGUCUUCCGUGAUGAGCUUGGACUUUGGGGGUUUGCUGGCCCUGUGGCCGGCUCCUCUCAAACGGAUCAGCUUGCCAGUGUUUGGUGGCGUCACGGGUGUGAUAACUAUCUACGCUCGCGGUCGUCCGCCAGGUAACCCUCAGCAAUGAAGGUUCAUUGGAGCUCAUAAACGUCUCUCCUCGGCGAGGACAACUUUUGAAC
rnacentral:misc_RNA from 1 species